UAUGUUUGCGUGUUUGGUAUCACUUUUAGGAUGAAAGAGGCCUAAUAUAUUCUUGAAUAACACUCCCAAUCCAUCUAACAAUGUCACACAAAACACCACAUUUGAAGUUAAUUUCUAAUGGAAAUAGGAGCCUUUUGAUGCUGCAAGGCAUAGCCAAUCUGAACUCCGAACAUGGAACACGCUCACCGUGUCACGCUCUUGAUCCAUCGCCCUCCGGGAACCUGC
rnacentral:lncRNA from 1 species